UGGCUCAGGAUGAACGCUAGCGACAGGCCUAACACAUGCAGGUCGAGGGGCAGCACAAGGAGCAAUCUGAGGUGGCGACCGGCGCACGGGUGAGUAACACGUAUGCAACCUGCCUGUAAGCGGGGAAUAACCCGUUGAAAGACGGACUAAUACCGCAUAAUACUAAAUUACUGCAUGGUAAUUUAUUUAAACAUUUAUGGCUUACAGAUGGGCAUGCGCAUGAUUAGCUAGUUGGAGAGGUAACGGCUCCCCAGGGCAACGAUCAUUAGGGGUUCUGAGAGGAAGGUCCCCCCACACUGGUACUGAGACACGGACCAGACUCCUACGGGAGGCAGCAGUGAGGAAUAUUGGUCAAUGGACGAGAGUCUGAACCAGCCAAGUCGCGUGCAGGAAGAAUUGUCCUAUGGAUUGUAAACUGCUUUUGCAGGGGAAUAAAGUGCAUCACGUGUGAUGUUUUGUAUGUACUCUGCGAAUAAGGAUCGGCUAACUCCGUGCCAGCCGCCGC
rnacentral:rRNA from 1 species